UGGGGCGACUUCCCUUGUGGUGAUGCUGCUGCCCACUGUGGGCUGUGCUGGGAGGGGGGUGGAGAGAUGGCUGGGAUCCAGAAGACGAGAAGCAAACAAGCCCAGCACCAGGCAGAGAUCCAGUGGAAAAAAAUGCCCAGCCUACUGUGAUGCCAAUUAGUCUCUCUUCCCACGGCGGGCCAGCGUCCCCGCAGGAGGAAAUCCGUGGAGCAGACAGCGAGGUCCUCGGAAAGCCCAGCUGUGAUGAAUAGGACUUCGGGCUCCCCUGGGACAUGGCUGGUUAUUUUGUAGGAAAUUGAAUUUCUUGGCCAAGUCUGAUUGUAUGAACCCUAAGAGAGAAAGUCCUCUGUCAACCAAGAGAACAUCAGGACACCAGCACACAGAGAGGGUUAACACCAGCAAGUGUGGUCUCUAACCCAGCCUUGUGACUUCAGGUGUAUCUUGUACCCUCUGGGGCUCUGUAUCCACAUCUAUAAAAUGGAUUGAACACCUCCUUGCAGGGAGUUCUGAAAUACAUAGCACGGUUGCUUUGUUCUAAUCCCCAAUAAUCUUUCUAUAAGCAAUUCAGGAUCUCCCAACUCAGGGAAGUCAAAACCCUUCUGAAGAGUGCAGUCACAGCGGCUCAUUCAUUAUGGCUCUAAUAACAGCGGCGGGCCCGAGAGCACCAGGCUGCAGAGGAGCCGGCCUCUGCAGCUGCAGAAAGCCAAUACCUUUUUAAAUACAUUUAC